rnacentral:rRNA from 1 species
CAGUAGCCGCGGGAAUACGUAGGGUGCAAGCGUUAAUCGGAAUUACUGGGCGUAAAGGGCUCGCAGGCGGUUUCUUAAGUCUGAUGUGAAAGCCCCCGGCUCAACCGGGGAGGGUCAUUGGAAACUGGGAAACUUGAGUGCAGAAGAGGAGAGUGGAAUUCCACGUGUAGCGGUGAAAUGCGUAGAGAUGUGGAGGAACACCAGUGGCGAAGGCGACUCUCUGGUCUGUAACUGACGCUGAGGAGCGAAAGCGUGGGGAGCGAACAGGAUUAGAUACCCCCGUAGUCCCUGUCUCUUAUAA